ACUGUAGGCUGCAACUCGCCUACACGAAGCUGGAAUCGCUAGUAAUCGCGGAUCAGCACGCCGCGGUGAAUACGUUCCCGGGCCUUGUACACACCGCCCGUCACACCAUGAGAGUCUGUAACACCCCAAGCCGGUGGGAUAACCUUUAUAGGAGUCAGCCGUCUAAGGUAGGACAGAUGAUUAGGGUGAAGUCGUAACAAGGUAUC
rnacentral:rRNA from 1 species